rnacentral:rRNA from 1 species
AUUGAACGCUGGCGGCAGGCCUAACACAUGCAAGUCGAGCGAGCGGCGGACGGGUGAGUAAUGUAUGGGGACUGCCCGAUAGAGGGGGAUAACUACCGGAAACGGUAGCUAAUAUCGCACAUUACCGGAUAACCCAUAUGGGAUUAGCUAGUAGGUGAGGUAAUGGCUCACCCAGGCGACGAUCCCUAGCUGGUCUGAGAGGAUGAUCAGCCACACUGGAACUGAGACACGGUCCAGACUCCUACGGAGGCAGCAGUGGGGAAUAUUGCACAAUGGGCGCAAGCCUGAUGCAGCCAUGCCGCGUGUAUGAAGAAGGCCCUAGGGUUGUAAAGUACUUUCAGUGGGGAGGCGUUACCGGCAGAAGAAGCACCGGCUAACUCCGUGCCAGCAGCCGCGGUAAUAC